AAUAAUUUUCAAUACUGGCGAGGACCAAGUUUUGGAGUGAUGUUUCAUGAAUAUGUGCAAUAAAUCGACAAAGUAUUACAAUAGAUUGGAAUAAAUUAUAAAAAUUAGCAAGAGAAUGGGAUGAUCAUUCUACCAGGAGUAGUCAUCUCUGACCCAUAGACUACUUGUCAGAGUUUGGGAAAGUUGUAAUCAAAGAGUUGAAACACAUGGAUUGGUCUAAUUGCUCUAAAACUUUCAGAACAAACACAGUGAUACUUACCCAGUCAUACAGAAACAAAUCCUAAGAAGCGAGUGGUAGCAAUUAAAAAAGUGGAAAACGAUCCACCAAGGUCACCUGUAAAAUUUCAAGAAUAUGUACAUCCACUUAAAUUCUUCCAAAGGCAUUGAAAGAGGUCGAAGGAAGAAAAUAUUCAUGCAAUAACAAUAAGGAAUGUGCUCAUAAAAGUAGAAAAUUUAAUAUUUUCCACAGAUUUCAUUUGAAGAUCGGGACAUUCUAUUUAUACUGGGCCACCCAUUUUAGCAAUAGGUCUAACCCUAAUCGACAUGAAGAAAAGUGAGUUGAUACUGAGGGUGUAGGACGAACAACAAAUAUUCAAUAUUUACACCCCAAAGCCAUCCAACGUUAAAGAGGACUGUAGAAUUGAUAAAGUGGAACUAGUAUCCGAAUCGAAGAGAAAUAUUAGGAAAGUUGUUGGGAGUGAAUUAAGUCUAUCAUGUACCAAGAUUUUCGGAAAAAAAAGGAAGAUUCCCCACUAAUCUUUCUUUCAAAACCAAUUUUUUACAAUCAAUUAUGGGGCUUUGAUAAUUUGAAAUUUUUUUGCUCCAUUUUGUGAUCAGUUAGUGGAGUUGGGAUUAAGAUUAGAUGCUAGAAUUGAUGGGUUGUAAUUGGAUCAAAAACUUCAAAUUACGUAGAAAUCAAACAUGAACACAAGAUGUUCGAUAGCCUUACCGAACGAUUGUUCCAUUCACAUUUUUCGUCCACCUUUGCACGACGAAUUCUUGCAUUAUAUAAAACCUAGUUGUGUGAAAAAUUUGUCACUUGCAUUAGAAUUAAGGCUCUUUUGACAGGAACAAAGUACGGGGCAUGCAAGGGGUUGCAUCCCUAACCCUUCCUCCACGUGUCCCCUAUUUUCAUCCUCCCUGCAUUCCCCGUUGCGUCCCCCUUACAAUCCCUAUGACCCAUAGUUCCUUCCCCAUUCGUUUCCUAUUUUUACAUUCAAAUUUGAUAUGUUAGACUAUUAUUCAUUGAUUAUGGGUUACUAAUGUAUUAUAUGAUCUUCAUUAUAGGAAAAUAUGUAUCAAAAUUGUAAGACACAUUCAAAGGAAAAGAAAUAUAAAAAGAAAAAGGGAAGCAGCUGGGACAUUCUUCAAAUUCAUGCUCCACAUCCACAAUCCUAUCAACAUCUUACGAGUCUUAGUUUUCCUCUGCUAAUUUAAUUUUUAUAUUUUUAUUGUAAAUUGAAGACAAUGUUGGAAUUAAAUUUGGGGGUGUAGUUUUAGUUAGUUAGUUAUAUUCGUUUGUUAUCACAAAAAAUAAAAAUAAAAAUUUAUAUCACUACAAUAAAAAUAUCUUUUUGCAACAUGUAAAUGGCAACAUUUACUUAGUAGAAUGUUGCAAUAUGCAGACAACAUUGCAACAUUCUAAUAAUUGAAUGUUGCCAUUGGUGUUCAUAAUUGAGAUUUGACAACUUUUUAUAAGUGAAUGUUGCUAAUGCCCUUUUUUUGCAACGUUUAUUUAGUGUUGCGAAAAUUUUUAUUUUCAGCAAUGUUUCAUAAACAUUACGGAAGAGAAAUCUUUUUGCAAUGUUUGAUGAACAUUGCAAAAAUGUUAUUUUUCGAAACAUUUAUCAAACGUUACAAAAAGGUUUCUCUUUUGCAACGUUGAUCAAACAUUGCGAAAAAGGUUUCUAUUUCCAGCGUUUCAGACGUUGCAAAAGGUGAUAUCUUGCACCUCUCAUCAACCUAGUCCUGGUUUUGGGCUGGCUCAGGCCCAAUUCAAAGGUGGCCUUAUAAGAAGCCUCUUAGCAUUCUUUCAAAAAGUUAUUCUCCACCUGGGUUUCCUCACAAUUUAUGUUAGGGCUUUUUCAAACAUAAGAAAUCUCUGCCCAGAAUCUCAAUCUCUUUGCAAUUCAACCUCUCCCAAAAAUCCAAACCCCACAAUUUCAAGUUUUAAUAGAUGGAAGAAUAACAGGUAAGUCUUAUUUUUGUUUUUGCUUUUGUUUUUUGUUUUUUUUGUUUUUUUUUUUCACCCGUUUUGAACCUAUUAUUUGACCUAUGAAAAUCUGAAAUUACCUCUUCACUUUGCAUUUUUUGGUUGAAAACUAUAUGUCAUAGACUUCAAUUUUUGGGCAUUUUACCUAUUUUGAUUACAUAAAUAAUAUCUUGAUGAUCUAAACAUGCUCAUAUGAUUCGAAAAGUCAUAUAGAUCAAAUGUGAAAUAAAAUGGAACCGAAAACAUACUUCCCGCCAUUGCCACAAUCACACACUUUAUUAUUGGAUUUAGGUGCUUCUAAACCCCGCUCAAUCUCGACUAGAUGGCGUAUGUCUUACUGUAUGAGAUUGGAAGGAUUAGGGACACAAUUGGUGGAAGAAACUGUAUAUGUAUGGGUUCCAUCCAUUAUAGAACCAUUCUCAACCAAAUGCAAACGUGGGGAGACAAUUGGGGCAUAAUUUUGGCAACUAUUCACGUCCCUAAAAUGAUGCAGUUGGGACAUGAUUUUAGCAGUUAUUCACAUCUUUAAAAUGAUGGAAAACGUGGACCACAUCUAGACCUUCAUGGAAGAAAAAACUAACAUUCUCCCACUUGGUCCAUAUAUUCCAUUGUUUACCAUAGUAAGAAACAAAAUACAUGAAUCAUGGCGAUAGGUUUUCUAAGUACGAGUGUUAUCUUCCAUGUAUCACAAUGCAUUGUGUUUUUUAAAAACUAACCGGUAUUUCUUAAUGAAUAAACCAUAUGUUUAUUCUAGGUCCAAACAUCAAUGUUUCUCAACAUUAAUGUGUACACAAGGAAAACCAAAUAUGAGAAAAUAUCAUAAAUUGAGUUUCAUUAACAUUCGUUCUUACAACGAAAAUCACAUAAAGGAACCAAGUCCCAUUUUAUCUACAUCAUUCUUAAAUCUUAACGGUGGCAUGCCUCUUGUCAAAGGAUCAACAAUCAUUAAUUCAGUAUUAACGUGUUCAAUGACAACUAUUUUCUCUUUAACAUGUUCCUUUAUGGCCAGAUACUUUAUGUCGAUGUUUGCUUCGACUAUCACUUUUAUUGUUCUUAGCCAUAAAGACUGCAGCUAAAUUAUCACCAUAUAUCCUUAAUGGCUUAGAAAUUGAAUCCACAAUUCUAAGCCCAAAAAUGAAACUCUUCAUCCAUACGCCAUGCAAGGUAGCCCAAAAACAAUAUAUGAACUCAGUUCGUCUAUAAAUAAGCAUGUAAUUUUGGUACCCUGAAGGUACCUUAUUACUUUCUUCAUUGUUUUAUAGUGGUUUUUACCUGGAUUAACUUGAUAUCGUCAUAACAUUCUUAUAGCAAAUGCAAAUACAUUAGGCUUCCGACAGCAGAAGCAUAUGGAAUGUUCUUCAUUUGUUUUCUUUCAAGAUCAUUUUUCAGGCACUGGUUCAAAUUGAACAUAUCAUCCUUUACAAUGGGAGCAAUAAUUGGUGAACAAUCUUUCAUCCAAAAUCUCUCUAAAACUUUAUUGAUAUAGGUCUCUUGAAAAAGGCUAAAAUACCUCGAGAUCAUUAUCCAUAUCAUCUCAAAAUAUUUAGAGAGAAAUUGUUUCACCUCAUGUAAAGUAAAUUGUCAUCCAUAUAUAGAAUAAGGAAACAAAUCUUAUUCCCACUGACCUUCUAGUAUAUACAUUGAUCCAUAAUGUUCUCUACAAAUCCAAAUGAAGAGAUAACAUCAUGAAAUUUCAAAUACCACUGACGGGAAGCUUGUUUCAAUCCAUGCAUAGAUUUCUUGAGCUUGCACACCAAAUGCUCACUAUCACUACAGAAAAUCCUUCUGGUUGUUUCAUGUAAACCUUUUUCUCUAGAUCUCCAUUGAGAAAUGCCGUUUUCACAUUCAUUGUUUGUGAAAACGUUUCAGGAUCAUUUUCGGCUCCAACACUAUAGUCCGAUUCUUAUAGAUACAUGGCAUAAUCACUAGGUAUUGCUGAUUUUCUUAUUCUUGUAGAUCUCCUUAAUGUUUUAUCAACAUUUUCUUGAGGAUCAUGUUGUUCAAUCGAUUGUUCAAUAAUUUCAGGCAAUUUUUGAACCUCUUGAUCUACUAGAUUAUCAUCAGCAACUAGUGAAACUUCAAUGAUUGGUUGUCCAACACUUGUUUGAACUUGAGGGGUGUUGUGAACGACAAUCAAUCUAUCACUUGAAGUGGAAAUUCAGCAUUAAUAUGAUUCUUUUAGAAACAAUGUCCUAGAAUCGAUCACUCCCACUAAUCAAGUCAUUCUCAAGAAACUUCAGAUUUCUUGACUCCACAAUCCUAGUGCUAUGAGUUGGACAAUAAAAUCUGUAUCCUUUAUACCUUUCAGCAUAUCCAAUGAAGUACCCACUAAUGGUCCUUAGGUCUAGUUUCUUUUCUUAUGGGUUGUAAACUCUUACUUCAGAUGGACAACCCCAAAUGCGUAUACGUUGCAAACUCUAUUUCCAACCUUUUCAUAAUUCAAAUGGCAUCUUUGGGACAGCCUUGGUUGGAACUCGGUUUAGUAGAUACACUGCCAUUCUAAGAGUUCCUGUCCAAAAGGAUUCAGGAAAUUUGGAGUUACUACGCAUACUCCUCACCAUGUCCAUUAAAGUUUGGUUUUUUCUUUCUGCUACACAAUUUUGGUCUGGAAAACCAAGCAUGGUGCAUUGGGAAACUAUCCCAUGCUAUUGAAGAAACUUUACAAAUGGACCAGGUGCUUGUCCAUCAUCGGUGUAUCUACCAUAAUAUUCUCCAUCUCUAUCUGUUCUCACGAUCUUAAUUUACUUUCCACAUUAUUUCUCUACUCCGGCCUCAAAACUUUAAAGGCAUCUAGUGCUUCGUUCAUGUUAUGAAGUAAGUAGAUAUACAUGUAUCAUAGGUAAUCAUCAAUGGAAGAGAUGAAGUAUUUUGGACCAUAUGAGUCUAUAUCUGGACUACAAAUAUCUGAAUGUAUGAUCUCUAAUAUGUAUGUACUCCUCUUAGCACAUUUCUUGGACUUGUUGGUCUGCUUUUUCUUAAUGCAGUCCAUAUAAGUGUCGAAAUCAGUAAAAUCCAAAGUACUAAGUACUCCAUCAUCUACUAAUUUCUUAACCCUUUCUAUGGAGAUAUAUCCUAAUCUCCGGUGCAACAACAUAGAAAAAUCUUCGUUCAUAACACAUUGUUUCAUACCAGUGUGAACAUGCAUGGCAUUGUAAGUAGUGUUAUUUUGCAGAUUAAUCGAGAAAAGACCAUCAAACAAUGUACCAUUCCCAAUGAGAUCAUUUCAUAAAAUAAAUGAAAGACCUUUGUUUUUGGAGAAAUUAAAGGAAUAACCUAAAGGUACAAGUCUUGAAAUUGAAAUUAAGUUCGUAAAAAAAAAAAAAAACUUGAAAUAUAAAAUGUCUUUUCUAAAUUCAAAAUAAAAUCACUGAUUAAGACUAAACUGCAUGUUUCAACAGCCACCACAUGUGAGUGCAUCUUGUUUCAUGAAUAAAUGCAUUGCUCACCUUCUAAUGGUUUUCUUAGGUUUCGCAUACCUUGUAAGGUAUUCGAAAUAUGGAUUGUAGAACCAGAAUCAAUCCAUCAUGUGUUAUAAAUAACGUCAACCAUAUUAGAUUCAUAACAGAUAAAUUAGAUUGGUUUAUCUUUUAUUCUCAAGCCAUUUUGGAACUUGGUGCAAUCCUUCUUCAUGCGUCCCUUCCUUUUGUAGAAGAAACAUUUUGAUUCAUUUUUAAUUCCACCUUGGGGAGGUAUUUUACCUUUCCCUUUCCUUUUGGCUUGUUUUUCGUCAUUUCCUUGUGUUGCCAUCAAUGAACUUCUGAACACACAUGGUCAGAAGUUCAUUAAUUGACCACUUUAUAUGAUAUCUUGAAGGGUCUAUAUUGAUGUGAAAGGGUGUUUCAAAUAUAGUGCACAAGGAAAGACUUAGACAUAUCAACCUCAAGAGUCUUAAAUUGAGCCGCAAUAUCCCUCAUUUGCAUGAUGUGCUCACGCACACCUCUUAUAGUAGUGAUCCUCAUGGAUGAAAACUUCAUAAUUAGGGUGCCGACAAGUGCUUUAUCUAAAAUCUCAAACUGCUCAUCAAUAGCCUUCAGCAAUGCCUUAACAUUAAUAUGCUCUUUGACAGAACCACGAAUACCAGUAGAAAUCUUGGUCUUUAUGAACAUCACACUGAGUUGAUUGGAUCGCUCCCAUCGUUCAUAAAGAGCAAUUUCAUCUGGAGUGUUGAUCGAAAUGAUUUUUGGUUCGUCUUUCCUAAUAUCAUAAUUAAUAUCCAUCCACCUCAAAUGAAGGAGAAUUCUCUCCUUCCAAACUUUAUAGUUAUCACCAUUUAAUUCGGGAACAUCACAUUUAAUAUCAGAGAAAUUCGCAGAUUGUGAAGCUGCAUAAUACUUAUCUUAAAAUUGAGGUUUUUAUUGAGUAGAUUGCAUGUUUUACCAAUGUAAGUCAUGCUAAAAUUGAAUAUAAUGAUAUAAAAAUUGCAUGUGGGCUAAAUUUUUAAUUCAACUAUAUUCAAUUAUACUUUAUGAUAGAAUUAUCAAAUCAUAUUUUACUAAUGUAAAAUGAUGCUUCAAAAUAUGAAUCUAGUGAAAUGGAACUUGCCUGUGGGCUAAAGUCCUACUCAAUUAGAUCUAUAUAUAAACUUCAUGAUAAAACUAUCAAAUCACAGUUUACCAAUAUAAAAUCAUGCUUCAAUUCCAAAUUCAUGUUGGUAAUUAGAAAAGUAAUUUAAAAUUUUAUCUUAAUUGAUCAUAUAAAUAUAAUAAAAAUUCCUGUGGGAUAAUAUUAUAUUAAAUAUGAUCAACCACAAUUAAUAUCUUUGCUCAAUAUGUGUUCCUAUGCUUUAAUAUAUAAUUUUGCAUAAUUAAGGAUACUGUAGCUACUCCCUAAUUAAUUAAAAUUAUGUGGAUCACUCGACAUUAAAUUAAUUCACAAAAUAUGCUCAUAUAAAUUGCACAAACCCAUAAGCAAUAUGAGCACAAAAACUAAAUUUUACUAUACUAAAUUUUUAACUUAAUAUUGCAUGUAUAACAAAGCAAUAAAAUUAUACAUACAAAAUAACAAAAUAAAUAAUUUUAGCACAUAAAAACCAAAGACAUCUACAAUAAACAGGUUCUAAAUAUUCAGCCACUUAAAUGGCACCUGUCAUCUUUUCAAAAAUUAAUUGCCCUAAAUCUAUAGUAGUUGGAAUUCACUGUAGGACCCACACCAAUUAUUAUUGGGUUUCAAUUCUGGGCGUUGCAACCAACGGUGCAAAUAUAUAUAUACGAAAAAAUAAUCCAAAAAUCAUAAUAUAACAGAAUGUUUGAAAAGGGUCAAUGCAAGUCUAUCAUGAGCAAUUCGGCCUAUUAAUUGAAAAUUUGAAACAAAGAAUGAAUUUGCAACCCUUUUAUGUAGUUUAAUUGCAUUUUGGAUCACUGCACGUGGCACUAGCCAAAAAAUUUGAAUUUGUAUUUAACAAUUUGGGCCCCACAUGCUGAAAACUAAUGGUCAAAACAAAAAAUUCAUUUUGCACUUGAAUAAUUGGCAACGAAACAGAUAGGAUUGAAAGUCAACACUUUCGGCCCAUCUCUAUGCAAUAUCCAUGUUUAAAUAUAUAAUAAUAAAACUCUUUGCAAGUCUGCGAAUUUGCAAUCACGUGUGCUGUCUUUCAGAUUUUUUUUUUUUUUUUUAAAUUCUAAAAGGUCGUCUUCUUCCUCUGGUCGAGUCAUUUUGACCUGAUUCCAACCCGAAUAAAAAACCCGAUGGUUUCUAUGCAUUCCGAAAACCAAAAUUUAUGUUUCAAAUCCAAAAAUGUUGGAAAUCCAAAUUCUCAAUGAUUUCCAAUUUUAUUGCCAUCAAAACAACGAUUUGAAGUCUAACUCAAAAUUUCAUGAACUUUGUAAAAUUUUUGGAAAUUGCAGAGAACAAAAAAGAGUAAGGCAGAGGUAAACAAAGCUCUGAUACCAAUUAUAAGUAAUAUCUUAAUGAUCUAAACACGCUUAUAUGAUCGAAAAAGGCAUAUAGAUCAAAUGCGGAAUAAAACAGAACCGAAAGCAUACCUCCCGCCAUUGCCACUAUCACCCACUUUAUUGUCGAAUUUAGGUGCUUCUAAAACUCGCUCAAUCUUGGCUAGAUGGCGUAUGUCUUUCUGUAUGAGGUUGGAAGGCUCAAUGACCCAACUGGUAGAAGAAAUUGUAUAUGUAUAGGCUCCAUCUAUCAUAGAACCAUUCUCAACCAAAUGCAAACAUGGGGAGACAACUGGGACA
rnacentral:lncRNA from 1 species